GGCGACAGCUUUGAACAUGUCCUCCAAGGAGUCGCCCCAUGACCGGCCUCUUAUGUCGUGGUCGGCCCACCACCCCUCUUUGUAGGCCGCAAUGUCAAUCUCGACUGAAUUGGCGCCGUUCUUAAUGGCAUCUUUGAGGCCCUUUCUGUCCAGGACCAUAUGAGCGAUGGCGUAUGUUGGCCUUUUAUUGGCUUGCUUGCUAACUCCAGCCUUGGUUGGACAAGCGAAGGUGAGGGGGACUGCUAUGAGGAUGCAGAGAAUUGAGCAUAUUGUUCGCAACAGGGGCGGCAUUCUAGCUCAAGCCAGUUCACAAUUUCUAUUGGGAAAAUAAUGCGUUUCAACCUGGAGGAGAAGACCGCGUAGGUGGUGUUGUUUCCUCGGGUAUUCAACCGUCUGGGACGAAGAGAGUCUUUAUAAGAUUUCAUAUUGAGGAGAACAGUCAAUUUAUGGGGCGACAAAACAGGAGAAAAGACGAUAGUGCCUGCAAAUCCCUGCUCAUCAAUCAUCAUCUUCUCAAAAUACCUAAUCGUCAUUCUUCCAACCUUGUUUAUGCGGAGACAUAGGCGGAACCUAUCAAGAUCACAGAGCCAAUCCAAGGCGUGUCGUCGUAAAUUCGAAACUUGUUGAAAUAGCUGCGAGCUGAGGCAAAUGACAGAUCAUCCCCAUGCGACUGCUCACUCUGCGGAUGCUUACUGUUUCAAAAGGGGAUCUAGUCCCAAUCAGCAGCUUCGUUUGGUUGCCGAUCUCUAUUUAUAUCUCAAUGCUGUACUAGUCGGCGCCUUAUUUGAUAUUGCAGGGAUGGACCUCUAUUAAAUCGCUCUAUAUCAAAUGCUUUGCGAUGCAUAUCUUUCCGAGCCUAUCAUUCCAAACGCGAAAAGCGACGGGGGAAAGUUUGAAAAUAUGCGAUUGAGUUGUGUUGAUCAUCACACAUAAAGUUUUACCUAAUUUUGACUCAAAAUUCAUAGUCCACACAAUAUAAUCUAUCAAAAGAAAACAUGGUGGAGGCGGAAGGUUGGUUCAUUUUAAGUAUCCAGCGGGCGCAGCACUGCUUAACGAGUGAUAGGGAUGCCAACAAAACAAAAAUAAACGUC
rnacentral:sRNA from 1 species